UUUUAUCUCUAAAAUCAACUAUACUUUACAAGCAGUUAUAUGGUAUGCUUAUCAUGUGUGCUACAGUACAAAUAGUUAUAAAUGAAUGUUUUACUUCAGGAAAUGGACAUAGUCCACAUUAUAACAUACCCUGGUAUAUAAUGGAGCAGUGUACUCCAGUCUGAGUCUGUCGUUGUUUUAAAUUAUAUUUUGUGGUGUUCGUUAACAAAGCCCUUUCAGCAAAGAAAGACAUGGGAGCUUCAUGCUGAGUCAAAGUCUUCCAGUACAGAAGACGAAUGUCAUACAGAACAUAAAAAGAAGACAAUGAGUAGACGACAAAUUGAGAGGAAAAAGAAACAUCACAAAGUUGACUCAUCAUCCUCAUCUGAAUCAAUCUCAACUCAGUCCUCUUCAUCCCCUGCACCCUGAAAAUCCAGCAAACAUAAGGAUAAAGACAAGAAAAGGAAAGUGAACAAAAAGGAAAAAUGCACAAGAGUCUUUUUUCCAGAGCAAGCCAUGAACAGAUACAAGAAGGUCUUGGGCUAUUUGAAAGGCGUACUUCAAAUGCGGUGUGGAUAGAAAGACAAUUGUGGAUACUGCUGCAGUCUCAGAGCUCGAAGCAUGUGACAAUGAGGCACACAAACAUCUGCCUGCCACAUUACAAAGAGGACAGAAACUCUCUGAUUUUGCAGAGCG